rnacentral:rRNA from 1 species
UACGUAGGGUGCAAGCGUUGUCCGGAAUUAUUGGGCGUAAAGCGCUCGUAGGCGGUCCGUCACGUCGGCUGUGAAAGCCCGGGGCUCAACCCCGGGCCUGCAGUCGAUACGGGCGGGCUAGAGUUCGGCAGGGGAGACUGGAAUUCCUGGUGUAGCGGUGAAAUGCGCAGAUAUCAGGAGGAACACCGGUGGCGAAGGCGGGUCGCUGGGCCGGAACUGACGCUGAGGAGCGAAAGCGUGGGGAGCGAACAGG